rnacentral:rRNA from 1 species
GACGAACGCUGGCGGCGUGCCUAAUACAUGCAAGUAGAACGCAGUUGCGAACGGGUGAGUAACGCGUAGGUAACUGCCUCAUAGCGGGGGAUAACUAUUGGAAACGAUAGCUAAUACCGCAUACUGUGAGAUGGACCUGCGUUGUAUUAGCUAGUUGGUGAGGUAAAGGCUCACCAAGGCGACGAUACAUAGCCUACCUGAGAGGGUGAUCGGCCAAACUGGGACUGGGAACAGGGCCAGAACCCUACGGGAGGGAGCAGUAGGGGAAUAUUGGAAAAUGAGGGAAGGCUGACCGAGCAAAGGCGCGGGAGGGAAGAAGGGUUUCGGGACGGAAAGCUCUGUUGUGAGAGAAGCGGUAACUAACGAGAAAGGGACGGCUAACUACGUGCCAGCAGCCGCGGUAAUAC